rnacentral:rRNA from 1 species
UACGUAGGGUGCGAGCGUUAAUCGGAAUUACUGGGCGUAAAGCGUGCGCAGGCGGCUAUUUAAGCUUGCUGUGAAGCCCCGGGCUUAACCUGGGAACUGCAGUGAGGACUGGAUGGCUGGAGUGUGGCAGAGGGGGGUGGAAUUCCACGUGUAGCGUGAAAUGCGUAGAGAUGUGGAGGAACACCGGUGGCGAAGGCGGAUCUCUGGGCCGUUACUGACGCUGGAGGAGCGAAGCGUGGGGAGCGAACG